rnacentral:rRNA from 1 species
GGAGGAAACUUCUCUACCUGUAGGGAACUGAAGGUACUGUAGGAAUAAGGAUCGGCUAACUCCGUGCCAGCAGCCGCGGUAAUACGGAGGAUUCGAGCGUUAUCCGGAUUUAUUGGGUUUAAAGGGUCCGUAGGCGGACCGGUAAGUCAGUGGUGAAAUCCCAGAGCUCAACUCUGGAACUGCCAUUGAUACUGUCGGUCUUGAAUUUAGUUGAGGUGGGCGGAAUACGUUAUGUAGCGGUGAAAUGCAUAGAUAUAACGUAGAACACCGAUUGCGAAGGCAGCUCACUAAACUAACAUUGACGCUGAUGGACGAAAGCGUGGGGAGCGAACAGGAUUAGAUACCCUGGUAGUCCACGCCGUAAACGAUGAUUACUCGUUGUGCACAAUACAUCGUGCGUGACUGAGCGAAAGCAUUAAGUAAUCCACCUGGGGAGUACGUUCGCAAGAAUGAAACUCAAAGGAAUUGACAG